CGCUGGCGGCAUGCCUUACACAUGCAAGUCGAACGGCAGCACGGGAGUAAUCCUGGUGGCGAGUGGCGAACGGGUGAGUAAUAUAUCGGAACGUGCCCAGUCGUGGGGGAUAACGCAGCGAAAGCUGUGCUAAUACCGCAUACGAUCUCUGGAUGAAAGCGGGGGACUCGCAAGAGCCUCGCGCGAUUGGAGCGGCCGAUAUCAGAUUAGCUAGUUGGUGGGGUAAAGGCCCACCAAGGCGACGAUCUGUAGCUGGUCUGAGAGGACGACCAGCCACACUGGAACUGAGACACGGUCCAGACUCCUACGGGAGGCAGCAGUGGGGAAUUUUGGACAAUGGGCGAAAGCCUGAUCCAGCAAUGCCGCGUGCAGGAUGAAGGCCUUCGGGUUGUAAACUGCUUUUGUACGGAACGAAACGGUCUCUCUUAAUACGGGGGGCUAAUGACGGUACCGUAAGAAUAAGCACCGGCUAACUACGUGCCAGCAGCCGCGGUAAUACGUAGGGUGCGAGCGUUAAUCGGAAUUACUGGGCGUAAAGCGUGCGCAGGCGGUUAUAUAAGACAGAUGUGAAAUCCCCGGGCUCAACCUGGGACCUGCAUUUGUGACUGUAUAGCUAGAGUACGGUAGAGGGGGAUGGAAUUCCGCGUGUAGCAGUGAAAUGCGUAGAUAUGCGGAGGAACACCGAUGGCGAAGGCAAUCCCCUGACCUGUACUGACGCUCAUGCACGAAAGCGUGGGGAGCAAAC
rnacentral:rRNA from 1 species